AUAUCCCACCAUUGUAGUAACUUAGAAAGGUCAGUGUUCUUCUCAAAAAAGGGAAAAAAAAGAAACAAAAAGAAAAUCAUUCAGUCAGAUUUGUCACAAAUUUUCCUCAAAAUGCUAGUACUUCAUAUUUGGCACAAUUUUUGCCUUCUGUCUGGAAAUUUUGAACAUUGAAGGCCGAAAAGUUCAGUUUGUCCCAUUUGUGUUCUUGCAGCUUGAAAGGGCUUGAAAUCCUUUGACGAUGGACUGAGAAAAGUAAGUUUGGUGGCCUCAGUUAUUCAUGCGAUAACAUCAUCGACUGAUAUGUCUAGGAGCAGUCUCAAGGUCGAUCACUUACACAGUUUCUUUGUCAUUGAGAUAAACCAAUUUGUUCCUUGUUUAAGUCUAAUAUAUAUAUACGUAUUAAGGGGAAAAAAAAGAACUUUCUGGAAAUAAAACUGGUUUGAUUUUUUGAUAAUAACCUCCCUGCUAUUAUUGUUCCCAUGCCUAUAUUGAAGUUUAUUUUGGUGGAAAUAAUUUGAUGUUUGAAAAUGUUAUGAAGUGAUGACUCUAUAUCUCGAAUUGGCUGCAGAUAUCCUUGAACUGGUUAUCAAACGGCUUCCCAUUGUCAGUAACUAUCACUCUUAGUAGUCCAAAGUCCAAAUCUGCAUAUUAUGGAUUUUCAGGCGAAAAUCCUUGGUGAUCUUUUUAGUUAUUGUAGUUGUAGGUGUGUCUUUCACCCACUUAGUAAAGUAGUGACUAAUUAUUACUGCAAGAGUAAUAUUACAGAUACAAACUAUUUUACAACAACUCUUCUCACUUAUUGUAGUUGUGGCUAACUUCUUACUGGUUUUCAUGUUCACAACUAAUAUCAUUUUUUUAUUUAUCAAUAACCACUUAUCACAUCAGUAGUUUGUAAAAAGGUUUGUAUCUUUAGCAUUACUCUUACCACAAACUUCAUCUAUAGAUGGGGUCUAUUAUGUCAACUCAAAAGGAGGAACUUUUGGCUGAAAAUUCAGUCUACCAUCAGUCAUCAUCUCUGAAAAAUGUCCAUAAGAGAAACAACAAUUCUGAGAGAAAAUCCAUCAUUUUCCUCAUCAAGAUACCCUCCUCCUUCCAUGGAAAGAUCACCCAUCAAUCUCUUAAGCAAACUCAUGCAAACAUGAGCCCAAAGACCUCCAAAAUCACAUUCAAUCAUGCAUUUUUUGCCUAGAAUUCAAUAGCCCAAAUGCUUCCAUUACACCAUCAAAAUCACUCAACCUACCAUAAGACCAUUAAAAUCACUCAGCCCAAAUGCUAUUUCAGUCACCUUAGAUCAAAACUUCAACCCUAGCUAGUUUUAUUUGUCAAAUAAAGAUGAAUAGUGAUCCUGUUGUCCUCAUCAACAACAACCAUACAAUACAUUUCCUCGUUCCACCAUAUGGAGAAGACUCAUGGAUCAUCCAAUAGAAGUGGAGAUCUGAAAGUGGACGAGAUCCAUCUUUAAGAAUAGAAACCCUGAAAAAGUUCCACCGCUAAGAUUCUUAUUAGAAGUAAUACAUGCAGGUAGUGAUGAACAUUUAGAUGAUUUCUUGAGAGUAUGGUCACCUGAGUUAAGAUUUAUCAUCAUCUUCCUUUUUUUUUUUUUUUUUUUAAUUUUUAAUUUUUUUUUAAGACUGAAUUUCUAUUUUAUCAUAAUCUAAGUGUAUAUGUGUGUGAAGCUCUUCCUAAAAACUUGAACCUUGACUCUUGUCCUCCCACAUCUCAUAAGCACUUAUACUUGUGAAGUGACCACUGCACCAAGAGUGCGCGGUGGCGAUUUAUCAUCAUCCUUAUUCCUGCCAUACAUGAGUAGAUAUAACCUUAAUUAGGCGGUUCUUUUUAAAAAUUAGGAUAACCUAUCAGUGUGAAUUGAAUCUAGAUGUUUAUGCGUGAUUUUUCUAUAUUUAAUUCCUUAUUGGUCAUGUGAACUAACAUUUGUUUUCAGGGAUACAGGUUUUCUUUUUUUAAUAUGUAAUCUCACGCGUUCUUUGUUGAUUUUGUUUAAUAUGUGAUAUGACAUAUAUGAAUGAAUUUGACUUGGAGGAAUCGACAGUUUGCCAUUAAUUACAAGGAGACAUCUUCAGAUUGGGCAAGAUUAAUAUCUAAGAUAGCCUUCAAGCCUAGAUCAAAGGAUUUAAAAGAUUUGUUCAUUUCCAAUGUAAUUUUGCAUUUUCUUAGUUUUUACUAAGGAAUCAAAACAAUGCAAUUUUCUUUUUCUUUUUUCUUUUUUUUUUUGGGUAACCAAUGCAAUAUUUUUUCUCUAGUUUGUAACAAGGUAAAAGCCAUGUAAUUUUCUUCUUUCAUAUUUUUGUUAAGAUAAUGUAAUUUUGGAUAUUAGUUAAUAAAAUACCUAUUUUAUUGGGAUUCUUAA